rnacentral:rRNA from 1 species
UUUGCCUACGGGAGGCAGCAGUCGGGAAUAUUGCGCAAUGGAGGAAACUCUGACGCAGUGACGCCGCGUAUAGGAAGAAGGUUUUCGGAUUGUAAACUAUUGUCGUGAGGGAAGAAAAUGACGGUACCUGAGUAAGAAGCUCCGGCUAAAUACGUGCCAGCAGCCGCGGUAAUACGUAUGGAGCAAGCGUUAUCCGGAUUUACUGGGUGUAAAGGGAGCGCAGGCGGCCUUGCAAGUCUGAUGUGAAAUACCGGGGCUCAACCCCGGAGCUGCAUUGGAAACUGUGAGGCUGGAGUGUCGGAGAG